rnacentral:piRNA from 1 species
CACCUUGGGAGGCCAAGGCAGGCAGAUCAUC